rnacentral:rRNA from 1 species
AUAGAACGCUGGCGGCAUGCCUUACACAUGCAAGUCGAACGGUAACGCGGGGCAACCUGGCGACGAGUGGCGAACGGGUGAGUAACACAUCGGAACGUGCCCAGUAGUGGGGGAUAGCCCGGCGAAAGCCGGAUUAAUACCGCAUACGACCUAAGGGUGAAAGCAGGGGAUCGCAAGACCUUGCGCUAUUGGAGCGGCCGAUGUCAGAUUAGGUAGUUGGUGGGGUAAAAGCCUACCAAGCCGACGAUCUGUAGCUGGUCUGAGAGGACGACCAGCCACACUGGGACUGAGACACGGCCCAGACUCCUACGGGAGGCAGCAGUGGGGAAUUUUGGACAAUGGGCGCAAGCCUGAUCCAGCCAUGCCGCGUGCGGGAAGAAGGCCUUCGGGUUGUAAACCGCUUUGUACGGAGCGAAAGGUACGUUCCCUAAUACGGAGGCUGAUGACGGUACCGUAAGAA